rnacentral:rRNA from 1 species
GAUGAACGCUGGCUACAGGCUUAACACAUGCAAGUCGAGGGGAAACGACGGGGAAGCUUGCUUCCCCGGGCGUCGACCGGCGCACGGGUGAGUAACGCGUAUCCAACCUGCCUCUGACUGAGGGAUAACCCGUCGAAAGUCGGCCUAAUACCUCAUGGCGUCGUCUGCGGGCAUCCAACGACGAUUAAAGAUUUCAUCGGUCAGGGAUGGGGAUGCGUCUGAUUAGCUUGUUGGCGGGGUAACGGCCCACCAAGGCUACGAUCAGUAGGGGUUCUGAGAGGAAGGUCCCCCACAUUGGAACUGAGACACGGUCCAAACUCCUACGGGAGGCAGCAGUGAGGAAUAUUGGUCAAUGGGCGGGAGCCUGAACCAGCCAAGUAGCGUGCAGGAGGACGGCCCUAUGGGUUGUAAACUGCUUUUAUGCGGGGAUAAAGUGAGGGACGUGUCCUUCAUUGCAGGUACCGCAUGAAUAAGGACCGGCUAAUUCCGUG